rnacentral:tRNA from 4 species
GGGCGAAUAGCUCAGCUGGCUAGAGCGCCUGCCUUACAAGCAGGAGGUCACAGGUUCGACCCCUGUUUCGCCCA